rnacentral:rRNA from 1 species
CUACGGGUUGCUGCAGUGGGGAAUAUUGGACAAUGGGGGAAACCCUGAUCCAGCAAUGCCGCGUGUGUGAAGAAGGCCUGCGGGUUGUAAAGCACUUUCGGUUGGGAGGACUGCUUCUAGCACUAAUAUUGUUGGAAGUUGACGUUACCUUCAGAAGAAGCACCGGCUGAACUCCGUGCCAGCAGCCGCGGUAAUACGGAGGGUGCAAGCGUUAAUCGGAAUUACUGGGCGUAAAGCGCGCGUAGGCGGCUAGAUCAGUCGGGUGUGAAAGCCCCGGGCUUAACCUGGGAACUGCAUCCGAUACUGUCUAGCUUGAGUACAGGAGAGGAGAGUGGAAUUCCACAUGUAGCGGUGACAUGCGUAGAUAUGUGGAGGAACACCAAUGGCGAAGGCAGCUCUCUGGCCUGAUACUGACGCUGAGGUGCGAAAGCGUGGGGAGCAACCAGGAUUAGAUACCCCCGUAGUC